ACUAAAUACCCGACCCAUCUAAAUACCUAAAUAGAAAAAAUUUGAUCCUAAUAUCAAAAAGGGGAAACCCUUUACAACAUAUGAUCAGUCACUCUAUCUUAGUAAAAAAAAAUCAAGUCACUAUCUUCAAAAUUGGAGGCGUGACUUUAUCGAUCAUUGCUCCGGUAGUCUUCUCUGAUUAAUCUCAUCAGUUAAACACUCUAAUUUCCAAAAAUUUAUUGAAGAAUGAUUGAUAAAGUGGACUUGGUAUUUAAUUAUGGGGGAAAGUGGGUCCCAUCUCCUCAACUAGUCUACAUAAAAAAGCUGAAUCAGGCUUGAGAAGGAUAUGAUAUUGCUAUGUUGUCAUAUAUUGAUAUAUGUGGAGAGUUCAUAGAAAAGUUUGAUUUUACGGCUGUAAAGAAGCUCCUAGUAACAAGACCUACUGGUUGCUGGAUGUUGUUACUCAAGUCUUUCCCAAGGCACAUCAUAGACGGUGUAUAAGACAUAUAGAAGCAAAUUGGAGCAAGACUUGGAAGACAGUAGAAAUGAAGAAAGUGCUAUGGUGGUCUUCUUGGAGCACCUAUGAAGAAGAAUUUCACGAUCAAUUGAAGAAUAUGGGUAGUGUGUCAGAACAAGCUGCUGAGAAUUUAUUGUGGUAUCGUUGUGCAGGGCAUGUUUUAACACAAUCUGCAAGAAUCAAGGAUGUGAUAACAAUUUUACAGAGUGAUUCAAGAAAUGAAUCCUAAAGGUAAGGGCACAACCUAUAAUCAAGAUGUUAGAAAAUAUUAGAAUUAAGGUAAGUUACUGUUUUACUAACUUCACUUUAUUUUUUCUAAUCUUUUCCUAGUGCAAUACUAGGUCAGUACUAUAUAAACACUAACAACCUCCAAUCUAGAAACAAAAUCAAAAUAGAAGUUACAUAGUUACAAUGGAAAGAGCCUAAUCAAGUAAAUCAAACUAGUUAACAAAUUACAUAAAAACUGUUGCUGGGGUGUUGCAAAGACAUAUGUUGAACUAUGUAACUGCCCAGAUGUUUGAAUGAAUUGAGGUACUAGAUAUGGAUGCAUAGGAGGCAAGGGUGGCAAGGGUGGAGACGGUGAUGGUAGAGAAGGUGGUUCAUUUGGAGUUAAUUCUCGAGCAACGCUUGGAAGAUUGUGUUGCACUGCAUUUGGCUGAGAGAAAAAUGAGAAGGGUUCUUGAGGAUUCUGAGGGGCAACAUUAGAAGAGCGGUCAUUUUCAAGCUUUAUCCUUUUCUCUGGUUGAUUAUCUGGGAAGAUUAUUUAGUAGAAUUCCUAUGACACCCUCAGACGCCAAGGAUAAGAGUACAUAAGUCAGCAUCUGGGCUGAAGAUGUUGAUGUAGUGAGCUUUGCCGCCACUGCAGCAGCAGCUGAUUUCAUAUCAUCGUCCAGGUUGCCAAAUUUUACAUAUGAUGCCUGUCGAGUGUACAUCACUUUGUCUCCACGAUGCUUUCCAUUCCCAACAUGCUUUCCAGCAAACUCUUCCUUUAGAAUCUGCCCUCGAUAACCAAAGACUUUUCUCUCCUCCCAGAGAUACUGAUCAGCCACAAUGUAGCAUUUUUUGCAAACUCAUUUCCAUUUUCAACGACAUCACGAAGAGCAUCUUGAGGAACCUUCCAAAAUUCAUUGUUGGGGAUGUUUAGUCAUAGUUUUUCACUUUAUAUGGAUAUAUACAUGCUAAUUUUUUUUCCAGUUUUAUAGCUAUUUAUGUAUGCAGUUUUUUUCAAUUUUAUAUUAGUUUAGUGUUGUGGGUUUAUUCAUCUUUUACUCACUUCACCAGAUGUUUAGUUACUUUUUUUCACUUUUAUAUAAGCAUAUGUAUGCAGUUUUUCUCAAUUUCAUAUUAGCUUAUUGUUGCGUAUUUUCUUAUCUUUUACUCACUUCACUGUUGGGAUGUUCAUUCACUUUUUUUUUUAACUUUAUGUAGGCAUAUAUAUGCUGUUUUUUCAGUUUUAUAACUAUAUAUGUAUGCAGUUUUUUUAGUUACUAGUUAGCUUAAUAUCAAUAUUUGUAUAUUUAGGUAAUGAAUAGGUUUAAAGAACUUGAUGAGGAGGGUAGAAAGUGGAAGGAAAAUUUUAGUCCAUAUGCUUUGGAACUGUAUAAUGAUUACUUGAUCAUUGCACAAUCUUGUCACGUUCAGACUAACAGAGACCAAGGUUAUGAGGUGGUUGAGGGUGAAGAUCGAUAUGUGAAUCUUGCUAGGAAGAAGUGCACAUGUAGAACGUGGGACUUGACAGAUAUUCCAUGUCCUCAUGCCAUUAAAGCCUAUCUUCACGACAAACAAGAAUCAAAAAGUCUUUGCACCCAUGUUAUUCAAAAGAGACUUACAAUUUGGUGUAUAUGCAAAAAAUACAACCUGUUGGAGGUGAGAAAUUCUGAAAAAUUGAUCCUUCUCAUGCUAUGGAGUCACCAAAAAUAGUUAAAAUGGUAGGUAAACCAAAGCUUAAGAGGAAAAGAGGAAAAGUUGAGACAAGAAACAGGGAGGAGGUAUCGUCAGAUUCAAGAAAAGGAUUGAAAAUGACAUGUGGGUAUUGUGGUGAAACUGGUCACAACAAAAAAAAUGUCCUUUGUUAAGUAAUUUAUCUUUACAUAGUCAAUAAUUACGCUAACUAAUUCAUCAUUUAACUACUUUAUCAAUUUUUUAGCUUCAAAGAUCAGCACAAAGAACCCAAGAUGUGCCAGUUGCAGCACCCCUAGCGAUUUAAGAAUCUGCCAGUGUCUUCACACCUACUUCUAUUUUAUUGAUUCUUACAUUGAACAGACAAGCCUCUCUGCUUGACUUUAAAAUUCACAGACAAAUGUCAAUGAAUCUGUUGGAGCUUCAAGGUCAAAGAGAAAUACCAACUAACCUAUUGGACCUAAGCAAUCUGUUACAUUUUCAAGUGUAGUUUCUGAUGAAGAUGUUGAUGAAUAUGAGGAGGAUGAUCAGCCAAUUCUAAAUCCUGAGACACUAUUUGAAGAAAAGACUAGGCUUCAAGAAAAAAAUGCUGAUUCGACCAACUGGUACUAGGAGAAUUGGCUUCGAGGGAGAUGAAAAUGAUGCGAGUAUGCCUACUAAUUUGCCAUAUUCACCAAGAAAGCUUACUUGAAAAGGCAAAAUAGCUACGACUUCGGGUGUGUUUAGUAUGAUGGAAAAUAUUUUCUGAAAAUAUUGUCCCAUUUUCCUUUGUUUGGUUAUAUUAAAGUAUUAAGAAAACAUUUUCCAAGGGGGCUUAUUUUCCUUCAUUUGAAGGAAAAUGACUUCCCUGAUCAGCCAAGGGAAGUCAUUUUCCCUAUGAAAAUACAGCGCUAUUACUCCACCCCACCCCUCUUCUCCAUCUCUACCUCAAACAAAAUUGAGCUCGCAUUACAACAAAUUUCACUGCGGUCUUCAAUGUUAGGGUUUUCUCCUCUCUCUCUCUAUUCUUCCCAUUGCAAGAGCUUUGAAGGCACAUCCCAAUCAUGACAGGUUCAUCAACAAAAAAAUUGAAAUGUUUGACGAAAUGUCUCUUGUGUGUGGAAAUGAUCAGGCUAGGGGAGAUUGUGCUAAAUCAUUUGAAGAUAUAGAUUUUUAUAGUUUUUCUGAGAAAGAUAAUGAUAAUGACCUUGAAGGACCAUCCAUCGAAAAGGAUGUGCAAGUAACCGAAGCUUCUCACGUUAAGGCAAGUCGCAAAAGAAAACGUCUUCUCACGUUAAGGCAAGUCGCAAAAGAAAACGUUCUUUUGAGGGGCAAGAUGUCGUAGGUGAUAUAUCAAUAAAGUUUGUAGAAGUGGCAACGGCAAUCACUAGAAUGGUUGAUAGUCGUCUUGAUGUGACAAAGUUGUAUGAAGAAGAUAUGGCACUGAAAGGUUAUAAUGAAGAGUUCCUCGGUGAUGCUUUUGAUUAUUUGGUGCAAAGCGACUCUUCAUGAUCAAAAAUCAAAAUCUUCGUAAGGUGUGGUUGGAACGAUUCAAGCAACAACAGUAGUGACACCUAUUGAUUGGGUUAGCUUCAUAGGAUUUGGAAGCAACUAUUAUUCGCACGCUUUUAUUUUUGAUAAUGUAUCGCGUAUUUAUUUCCAAACUUUUCUCUUUUCUUUUGUUUUUGAUAAUGUAUCGUGUAUUUGUUUCCAAACUUCUCUCUUUUGUGCAUUUAUGGGAAUUGAUUAGGAAGCUUGAAUUAUGUAAGUAAUAGUUGCUUAAAUUUUA